CCAAUGGAGGAUGUGGCUACUGUGGGGCAGCCUGAAUCUAGUCAGAAUGAGAUAAUUUCUCUUCUGGAGACUUCCUUCCUUUCCCUGGGCUCUGAGCUGGGAGAUGAGGAAAUUGAGGCCCAUAGAAUGGGAGUGAGCUGCUUAGCAUUCUAUAAUGGUUCACUGUCACCUAAACCACAAUCUUACUUGAAGAAGAUACUUUAUUGAAAAAUGAAACUUGAAACUUAUAGUCAGUUUUUACAUAUGUAUACUCUUGAUUAAAUCAUAGACUA